CUGGGGGCUGGGGGCCAGGGGAGUGUGCAGGCCAAGAAGCUGUGCUUAAAAUAGCCCCACGCAUCCACCAGCUCCUGGCCUGGGUUCAGCCAGGCUAGGAGGGGGCCCUCAGCAGGCAGAGGAGGAGAGCCAGAGGAGCUGGUGCAGACCACAGCUUUGCGGAGAGGAGUCUGGCCUUGUGGAAGUGGGAAUCACUGGAGACUUUGAAGCAUGGUCAUAUUUUCAAGUCACUUGCAGCUGUGUAGGAGUGGAAGUAGAAGCCACCAAUCCUGGACAGAUGCAGGAGCAGCUGUCAGUAGACAGAUAAGAAAAGGAGAUCAGAUUCAAAGUUCCGCAGAGAAGUGGUGAGGUAACCAGUAUUGCCUAGCCUGGACACACAGGCAGCUUGAAACCUCAAGUGCACCAACAGAAAGAGCUCCAGGAAGAAUCAGAGGAGUGGGAUGUGAAGCCCCUCGAGGUUAUCCAAAAUAACCCAGAGUAUGAAAACCAGGAAAAUCUCAACAUGGGAGAAAAGAAGAUGAUCAAUACAUGCCCAUCCUGAGAUGAUUCAACUAUUGGAAUGAUCAGAUACAGACUUCAAAGCAGCUAUUUAUAACCAGCCUUCAGAAAGUAUUGGUGAAUAUUCUUAAACAAAAUGGAAAUGACAAAGGAUGGAGUCCAUAAAUUAGAUGAUAGUUUGGAAAAAGAUAUAAACUUACAAACCAAGAAGCUCAGUGAACCACACAACUGGAUAAAUUAACAACAAAAGUCCAAGCUUAGACACAUCAUAAAGAAACUUCUGAAAACUAAAGACCAAGAAAAAUAAGAUCAGCCAGAGAAAAACGAUACAUUUCAUUCAGGUGAACAAUUCUUUGAAAGACUGGAUCUUCACCAGAAACUAUAGAGGCCAGAAAGAAGUGGAACAUUUUUAGUUUUGAAAUAAUUGUCACCCAAGAAUUCUAUAUCCAGUAAAAAUUUCUAUUUUACUGGAAUAAAAGAAUGAAAUAAAAUAAAGACAUUCUCAAAUGAAGGCAAGCUGAGGAAAUUCAUAACCAAAGAAUCUGCUUUAAAAAAAUGUUAAACCAAGUUCUUCAGACAGAAGAGGUUACUGGGGGCAAUUCAAAACUUUGGGAAUGCAGGAAGAACAUCAUAAAUGGCAAAAGUCCACAUAAAUAUGAAACUAUUCUUUACUUC